rnacentral:rRNA from 1 species
AUUGAACGCUGGCGGCAGGCCUAACACAUGCAAGUCGAGCGGAUGAAGGGAGCUUGCUCCUGGAUUCAGCGGCGGACGGGUGAGUAAUGCCUAGGAAUCUGCCUGGUAGUGGGGGAUAACGUCCGGAAACGGGCGCUAAUACCGCAUACGUCCUGAGGGAGAAAGUGGGGAUCUUCGGACCUCACGCUAUCAGAUGAGCCUAGGUCGGAUUAGCUAGUUGGUGGGGUAAAGGCCUACCAAGGCGACGAUCCGUAACUGGUCUGAGAGGAUGAUCAGUCACACUGGAAUUGAGACACGGUCCAGACUCCUACGGGAGGCAGCAGUGGGGAAUAUUGGACAAUGGGCGAAAGCCUGAUCCAGCCAUGCCGCGUGUGUGAAGAAGGUCUUCGGAUUGUAAAGCACUUUAAGUUGGGAGGAAGGGCAGUAAGUUAAUACCUUGCUGUUUUGACGUUACCAACAGAAUAAGCACCGGCUAACUUCGUG